CCUACGGGAGGCAGCAGUAGGGAAUUUUCGUCAAUGGGCGCAAGCCUGAACGAGCAAUGCCGCGUGAACGAGGAAGGUCUUCGGAUCGUAAAGUUCUGUUGAAGGGGAAAAAGAGCGGAGAGAGGAAAUGGUCUCCGAUUGAUAUUACCCUUCGAGGAAGUCACGGCUAACUACGUGCCAGCAGCCGCGGUAAUGCGUAGGUGGCAGGCGUUAUCCGGAAUGAUUGGGCGUAAAGGGGGCGUAGGCGGCCUGCUAAGUCUGGAGUGAAAGGUACCGGCUCAACGGGUACAGGCGAUUGAGAGUGGCGGGCUAGAGUACAGGAGAGGGCGGUGGAACUCGAGGUGUAGCGGUAAAAUGCGUAGAUAUAAGGAAGAACACCAGUUGCGAAGGCAGCCGACUGAACUGCUACUGACGUUGAGGCACGAAAGUGUGGGGAGCAAAUAGGAUUAGAUACCCCAGUAGUC
rnacentral:rRNA from 1 species